AGUGAACGCUGGCGGUAGGCCUAACACAUGCAAGUCGAACGGCAGCACAGUAAGAGCUUGCUCUUACGGGUGGCGAGUGGCGGACGGGUGAGGAAUACAUCGGAAUCUACAUUUUCGUGGGGGAUAACGUAGGGAAACUUACGCUAAUACCGCAUACGACCUACGGGUGAAAGUAGGGGAUCUUCGGACCUUGCGCGAUUGAAUGAGCCGAUGUCGGAUUAGCUAGUUGGCGGGGUAAAGGCCCACCAAGGCGACGAUCCGUAGCUGGUCUGAGAGGAUGAUCAGCCACACUGGAACUGAGACACGGUCCAGACUCCUACGGGAGGCAGCAGUGGGGAAUAUUGGACAAUGGGCGCAAGCCUGAUCCAGCCAUACCGCGUGGGUGAAGAAGGCCUUCGGGUUGUAAAGCCCUUUUGUUGGGAAAGAAAAGCAGCAGGUUAAUACCCCGCUGUUCUGACGGUACCCAAAGAAUAAGCACCGGCUAACUUCGUG
rnacentral:rRNA from 1 species